CGGGGUCCUGGAGGCUCGAGGGGCGCAGAGGAAGAAGGAGGAGCUGGAGGAAGCGAAGGGAAGGGGAGGGGAGCGCAGGGAAGAGGAUUUUCCCAUCUCCUGGUGUUUUUUUUUUUUUUUUUUUUUUUUUUUGGAGGAGGAAGGUUGCUGCUGCUAGUGGCAGCGUUUCCUCCUGCUGGAAGAUGAUAAAUACAUGAGGAGAGAGGCUCUGAGCCUGCUUCUGUGCUGCGGGAGUGUCUCUCUCCCUCCCUCCCCUCUCCCUGCUUCUGUGUGAGUGUGUGUUUGGCUGCCGGGCUGUGUGUGCGUGUACACUGUGUAUAUAUAUCUGAGCUGGGAGGUUAUUGCAAGCUUCUCUCAGCAGCGCUCCUCUGUACAGGAAGACGGGCUCAGCUGCAGUGGUAGCAUCAACAGCAGCAUUAGCGGCACCAACUGCUUUAUUCGCCUUUCUUCCUUCCCUUCAUCUCCAUCUCCCUUUCCCCUCCCUCCUCCCACGUUUUUAGGGGAUUGAUCUUCAUUUUUUUUUUAUUAUUAUUUAUUUUUCUACUCUACAAUCCUUGUUAUUUGAUACUUCGUGGCUUUUUUUUUUUUUUCUUCUUUUUUUCCUUUCCCCCUUUCUCUGAGAAGGAGGCACAGAAAUAAACACGCACAAACACAGAGAAAUAAGGGAAAGAAAAGUACCGGGACUUAUCCUGCUGCUGCAAACCCAAAGAUAGCAGACGAAGAGGGGGUUUGGCUUCUACCCCAAGGUAAAGCCCUGCCCCCUUUACCUCCUCGACACCUCCUCCGAGGAAGAGAAGGAGAGAGAGAGAAGGGGGCCAAAGUGGAGAAAAGCAGGUCUUCUGCGGCUGGCAUUUGGAGUACAGGGAGCCAGGAAGUGAAGGAUGGUUGUGGUUACCCGAGCUGGCUGCAGGGCAGCUCUCUUCCUCUGGAUUUUCAUCAGCAUUAGCUGCAGAGCCAGGACUGCUCUGCCUGCAUCUCAGCCAAGUGUGGGCCAUCUGGGACACACUCCUGUGCAAGAGACAAGGAACAAAAUUGCUACUGGGAAAAGAAUGGAGCAAUGAAUAUCAUUCUGGGGUAGAGACUGUGCUUGCUUUUGGUUAUUGGCUGAGUAGUUCCAGAAUGGUGACUAGGACUUUUUGGUACAAUUCUCAAGAAGUCUGCUGUUCUGUCUACCUGCUGCUGCUGCUGAAUUUAGACAAUGUUAUAGGUAUUUUUCUAUCACUUCAGCACAUCUAUGUGUCUUAGAAGAGAAAUGAAAGGCAUAUUUUGAUUACAUAAAUGAGUAUGGGAUGCAGUGCUUAUGUGUUGAUCUUGAUAAGUACUACAGUGCAGGCCUUCAUGACUUUUGCAGAUGUUUGAAACUAGAGUCAGAACCCUAUUUCUUUGUUUUUUUUAUCAGAAUAUGUGUAGGAGAGUUGAAAUACACUUUGAGAACAGAUGCAAUUAAGAGUAUUUUGGGUGAAACGGCCUAAAAACCUGUAUCUGCUGCCACUUGCUUGCAGACAUCAGUUGCUGCUACAGAAGGGUAGGUCACCACUGGGUGACAUAUCACAUCUAUAGGUCCAAGGCUGAUGCCUCUGAACAGUGGCGUUGGAUAACCACAGUUAUAUGUGUCAAUAGGACCCUACUAAAUAUUCUGUCAUUAUAUUUCAGGCUUAGUGCAUCAAAUUUUUCUCCAAAUCUUUAUGGAAAAAUAGAAGUUAAAUACUGUGGUUCAGAUUUUUCAAAUUUUUCAGAUUUUCAGAUUUUUCAUAAUACUGAUAGACAUGCCCAGUAACAAACUAUUGUUCAAGAUAAUUUCUAUUUAAUUAAGGCUGAG
ensembl:lncRNA